CGGGGGGGGGUGCCUUAUACAUGCAGUAGAACGCUGAAGAGAGGAGCUUGCUCUUCUUGGAUGAGUUGCGAACGGGUGAGUAACGCGUAGGUAACCUGCCUUGUAGCGGGGGAUAACUAUUGGAAACGAUAGCUAAUACCGCAUAACAAUGGAUGACACAUGUCAUUUAUUUGAAAGGGGCAAUUGCUCCACUACAAGAUGGACCUGCGUUGUAUUAGCUAGUAGGUGAGGUAACGGCUCACCUAGGCGACGAUACAUAGCCGACCUGAGAGGGUGAUCGGCCACACUGGGACUGAGACACGGCCCAGACUCCUACGGGAGGCAGCAGUAGGGAAUCUUCGGCAAUGGGGGCAACCCUGACCGAGCAACGCCGCGUGAGUGAAGAAGGUUUUCGGAUCGUAAAGCUCUGUUGUAAGUCAAGAACGAGUGUGAGAGUGGAAAGUUCACACUGUGACGGUAGCUUACCAGAAAGGGACGGCUAACUACGUGCCAGCAGCCGCGGUAAUACGUAGGUCCCGAGCGUUGUCCGGAUUUAUUGGGCGUAAAGCGAGCGCAGGCGGUUUGAUAAGUCUGAAGUUAAAGGCUGUGGCUCAACCAUAGUUCGCUUUGGAAACUGUCAAACUUGAGUGCAGAAGGGGAGAGUGGAAUUCCAUGUGUAGCGGUGAAAUGCGUAGAUAUAUGGAGGAACACCGGUGGCGAAAGCGGCUCUCUGGUCUGUAACUGACGCUGAGGCUCGAAAGCGUGGGGAGCGAACAGGAUUAGAUACCCUGGUAGUCCACGCCGUAAACGAUGAGUGCUAGGUGUUGGAUCCUUUCCGGGAUUCAGUGCCGCAGCUAACGCAUUAAGCACUCCGCCUGGGGAGUACGACCGCAAGGUUGAAACUCAAAGGAAUUGACGGGGGCCCGCACAAGCGGUGGAGCAUGUGGUUUAAUUCGAAGCAACGCGAAGAACCUUACCAGGUCUUGACAUCCCGAUGCUAUUUCUAGAGAUAGAAAGUUACUUCGGUACAUCGGUGACAGGUGGUGCAUGGUUGUCGUCAGCUCGUGUCGUGAGAUGUUGGGUUAAGUCCCGCAACGAGCGCAACCCCUAUUGUUAGUUGCCAUCAUUCAGUUGGGCACUCUAGCGAGACUGCCGGUAAUAAACCGGAGGAAGGUGGGGAUGACGUCAAAUCAUCAUGCCCCUUAUGACCUGGGCUACACACGUGCUACAAUGGUUGGUACAACGAGUUGCGAGUCGGUGACGGCAAGCUAAUCUCUUAAAGCCAAUCUCAGUUCGGAUUGUAGGCUGCAACUCGCCUACAUGAAGUCGGAAUCGCUAGUAAUCGCGGAUCAGCACGCCGCGGUGAAUACGUUCCCGGGCCUUGUACACACCGCCCGUCACACCACGAGAGUUUGUAACACCCGAAGUCGGUGAGGUAACCUUUGGAGCCAGCCGCCUAAAAGGUGAAAAAAAAAGA
rnacentral:rRNA from 1 species